GAGGAGCCUGCGGCAGAUUAGCUAGUUGGUAAGGUAACGGCUUACCAAGGCGAUGAUCUGUAGCCGGCCUGAGAGGGCGGUCGGCCACACUGACACUGACAUACGGGUCAGACUCCUACGGGAGGCAGCAGUCGGGAAUUUUGGGCAAUGGGCGAAAGCCUGACCCAGCAACGCCGCGUGAAGGAUGAAAUCCCUCGGGAUGUAAACUUCGCAAGAACGGGAAGAAUAAGUCGGUGUAAAUACCACCGGCGAUGACGGUACUGUUUGUAAGCUCCGGCUAACUCCGUGCCAGCAGCCGCGGUAAUACGGGGGGAGCAAGCGUUGUUCGGAUUUACUGGGCGUAAAGGGCGCGUAGGCGGCACCGCAAGUCAGUUGUGAAAUCUCCGGGCUUAACCCGGAAAGGUCAACUGAUACUGCGGGGCUAGAGUGCAGAAGGGGCAACUGGAAUUCUCGGUGUAGCGGUGAAAUGCGUAGAUAUCGAGAGG
rnacentral:rRNA from 1 species